UGCCCUUAUCUCCCGCUUUUCUUUUCCUUAUUUCGUUUCAUCCCCAAUUGUUUUCCAUCUUUUACCAAACAAGGCUGGAGUCUUCGUUCCUGUCUUCGCGCCGCUCUCUCCCAAAUUACCACCUUCAAUUGGCCACAAUUGUUCAAUCGGCCACCAGCUUUGAGCCCACUAAUCCUUGAUUGAAUGUUGCCCUAAUUGAAUUCCAAAAUCCCGUGGUCUACCUCUCUUUUAUCUCGCUUUUUUUUUUUCAAAACCCAGUUCUGCUUUCUCACCUCCAGUCGCUGCCGUCCAUUUGUCCGGGUCUCCACCACCGUGUAUCCGCUUGAGUGCCGCUGUCGCAUGUGACUUAUUGCUCCUUUCGACCCAUAAAGAAGAAGGUCGCGAUUCAAGAUUCAGCAGAAGAAGAGACUGUUGAUAAUCUGUCUGAGAAAACUGAGAGCCUAUCUGGGAAAAAAAUUCAGCAAUCUAUUGUUUAUGUAAAUUAAUUCUGCCAUCUAAUGUUCAUGAUUUCCUGUACAUAGUUCCUUGUCCACAUUUUUAUUGGACGGCAAUUGUGCUAUGAUGCUGUGUAUGUUUACUGAAUUCUGUAGUUUCUGAUGGUCUUGAAACUUCAUUUGAUGGUUA